rnacentral:snRNA from 1 species
AUAAUAACCUUAAAUAUUGUACAUAUUUUACCAACACGAGAGAUAUAAUCUGGAGUUAGGCUCAAACAGUGCACUUUGGCUGUGCUGACCCUUGCAAAUUCCACCAGUGUGGGAAUCCUGACUGCACAAUUUCUAAUAGCACAGAACUACCUUAGUGCUCUCCCUUGGUUCAUCUGGC